AUUGAACGCUGGCGGCAGGCCUAACACAUGCAAGUCGAGCGAGCGGCGGACGGGUGAGUAAUGUAUGGGAAAAUGCCUGAUGGAGGGGGAUAACUACUGGAAACGGUAGCUAAUACCGCAUACGAUCAGAUGUGCCCAGAUGGGCUUAGCUAGUCGGUGGGGUAACUGCUCACCUAGGCGACGAUCCCUAGCUGGUCUGAGAGGAUGACCAGCCACACUGGAACGGAGACACGGUCCAGACUCUUACGGGAGGCAGCAGUGGGGACUAUUGCACAUGGGGCGCAAGCCUGAUGCAGCCAUGCGGCGUGUAUGAAGAAGGCCUUCGGGUUGUAAAGUACUUGCAGCGGGGAGGCGUUACCCGCAGAAGAAGCACCGGCUAACUCCGUGCCAGCAGCCGCGGUAAUAC
rnacentral:rRNA from 1 species